rnacentral:rRNA from 1 species
UCUCCUUCAUGGGAGAUGAUUGAAAGAUGGUUUCGGCUAUCACUUACAGAUGGGCCCGCGGUGUAUUAGCUAGUUAGUGAGGUAACGGCUCACCAAGGCGACGAUGCAUAGCCGACCUGAGAGGGUGAUCGGCCACACUGGGACUGAGACACGGCCCAGACUCCUACGGGAGGCAGCAGUAGGGAAUCUUCCGCAAUGGACGAAAGUCUGACGGAGCAACGCCGCGUGAGUGAUGAAGGCUUUCGGGUCGUAAAACUCUGUUGUUAGGGAAGAACAAGUACAAGAGUAACUGCUUGUACCUUGACGGUACCUAACCAGAAAGCCACGGCUAACUACGUGCCAGCAGCCGCGGUAAUACGUAGGUGGCAAGCGUUAUCCGGAAUUAUUGGGCGUAAAGCGCGCGCAGGCGGUUUCUUAAGUCUGAUGUGAAAGCCCACGGCUCAACCGUGGAGAGUCAUUGGAAACUGGGGAACUUGAGUGCAGAAGAGAAAAGCGGAGUUCCACGUGUAGCGCUGAAAUGCGUAGAGAUGUGGAGGAACACCAGUGACGAAGCCGGCUUUUUGGUCUGUAACUGACGCUGAGGCGCGAAAGCGGGGGCAG